AAUCGGAAAACAGGAAAACUAAUAUUAAAUCGAAUAUAAAUAACAGAUGGAAGGUAUCACUACACUUGCCGCACAACAGUAGAUUUCAGGGGCAUAAGGAAAACAUCUGGGAGUGUGUGUGACAAAAGUGCCAGAACUAACGGGAGCUUCUAUUAAAUGUUUAUCCCAGGAAAGCUUUCCGCACCAAUUAACGCCGUUCUGAGUUAUUCAGCGUCGGCAUCAUCGUCGCCACACAAUUUCAGCUGAUAACACACAUUAAUGUAGUCACUCUUAAAUUUUGUUUACCGAAUUGAGAAAUUCUGGCAUUGACAUUUACGUAGCCAAUAAAACCAGCAUUUUGUUGAUAAAGCAUUUAUAUAUAAUCGCGUUAAGCGAAAGUGCAAGCGCAGGCUAAUUUUUUUGUAGUCGCGAAAGCCUAUAAUUACGAUUACACCACAGCUUAGCAUUCUGUCAGCAGAUAACACUCAGUUCGCUUGUUGAGUCGGAACCAUCAGUAGGGAAAGUGAACUAAGAUAUGUCGGUAUAGCCGGUGGAAUUGUCAAAAGUGGCUUUUCCCAGUAUAUCAGCUGUUUAGCCAUUUAUCUCUCUGAAUUCAUUCAGAUACUUUGUACAUAUACAUAUAAUCGCCGUGAGUUGCAGUCCGCGAAGAACAAUCGCACGAAGUCAAGCGUAAAUGUUUCUUUCGCUGAAAAUAUUUUUUUGUUUCGUAUUUCAGUUAAUAGAUACUAGGUUUGUACAUAAAAGCGUGUACCAAAAAGGCAGUGGCUGUGGAAACCUCAGCGAAACCAAUUAAAGAACGUCAUAAAUAAUUGUACUGUAUUGUAAAUAUUUUGCUGUCUGUGAUGCGCAAUUGCUUUGUCAAUUAUUUUAAGUUAUAUUGAAAUUAGAUUUAAUGCUAUAUAUAAUUUAAAUAACAAAAGUAUACAAAAACACAUGACUUGCGGAAUGCUUUACUCGCCUCGUCAAUUUGUGUCGUUAUUAAUAAGUCCGCUAAUUAUUUUAAAUAAACCUGAAUAAAAGCAACAAAAACGCAUAAAUUAUCAGUUCUUCCAAAA
rnacentral:sRNA from 1 species